AGAGUUUGAUCCUGGCUCAGGACGAACGCUGGCGGCGUGCCUAACACAUGCAAGUCGAACGGAGUAAGCCCUUCGGGACUUACUUAGUGGCGAACGGGUGAGUAACGCGUGAGGAACCUGCCUUUCAGUGGGGGACAACAGUUGGAAACGACUGCUAAUACCGCAUAACAUACAAAGACCGCAUGAUUUUUGUAUCAAAGAUUUAUUGCUGAAAGAUGGCCUCGCGUCUGAUUAGCUAGUUGGUGGGGCAACGGCCUACCAAGGCGACGAUCAGUAGCCGGUCUGAGAGGAUGAACGGCCACAUUGGGACUGAGAUACGGCCCAGACUCCUACGGGAGGCAGCAGUGGGGAAUAUUGCACAAUGGGGGGAACCCUGAUGCAGCGACGCCGCGUGAAGGAAGAAGUAUCUCGGUAUGUAAACUUCUAUCAGCAGGGAAGAUAAUGACGGUACCUGACUAAGAAGCCCCGGCUAACUACGUGCCAGCAGCCGCGGUAAUACGUAGGGGGCAAGCGUUAUCCGGAAUUACUGGGUGUAAAGGGUGCGUAGGCGGUAAAGCAAGUUAGAUGUGAAACCUCAGGGCUUAACCCUGAGCAUGCAUCUAAAACUACUGGACUAGAGUAUAGGAGAGGAAAGCGGAAUUCCUGGUGUAGCGGUGAAAUGCGUAGAUAUCAGGAAGAACACCGGCGGCGAAGGCGGCUUUCUGGACUAAAACUGACGCUGAGGCACGAAAGCGUGGGGAGCAAACAGGAUUAGAUACCCUGGUAGUCCACGCUGUAAACGAUGAAUACUAGGUGUUGGCCCUUCGGGGUCGGUGCCGCAGUUAACGCAAUAAGUAUUCCACCUGGGGAGUACGACCGCAAGGUUGAAACUCAAAGGAAUUGACGG
rnacentral:rRNA from 1 species